GGGUUGUGAGGUUAAGCGACUAAGCGUACACGGUGGAUGCCCUGGCAGUCAGAGGCGAUGAAGGACGUGCUAAUCUGCGAUAAGCGUCGGUAAGGUGAUAUGAACCGUUAUAACCGGCGAUUUCCGAAUGGGGAAACCCAGUGUGUUUCGACACACUAUCAUUAACUGAAUCCAUAGGUUAAUGAGGCGAACCGGGGGAACUGAAACAUCUAAGUACCCCGAGGAAAAGAAAUCAACCGAGAUUCCCCCAGUAGCGGCGAGCGAACGGGGAGCAGCCCAGAGCCUGAAUCAGUGUGUGUGUUAGUGGAAGCGUCUGGAAAGGCGCGCGAUACAGGGUGACAGCCCCGUACACAAAAAUGCACAUGCUGUGAGCUCGAUGAGUAGGGCGGGACACGUGGUAUCCUGUCUGAAUAUGGGGGGACCAUCCUCCAAGGCUAAAUACUCCUGACUGACCGAUAGUGAACCAGUACCGUGAGGGAAAGGCGAAAAGAACCCCGGCGAGGGGAGUGAAAAAGAACCUGAAACCGUGUACGUACAAGCAGUGGGAGCACGCUUAGGCGUGUGACUGCGUACCUUUUGUAUAAUGGGUCAGCGACUUAUAUUCUGUAGCAAGGUUAACCGAAUAGGGGAGCCGAAGGGAAACCGAGUCUUAACUGGGCGUUAAGUUGCAGGGUAUAGACCCGAAACCCGGUGAUCUAGCCAUGGGCAGGUUGAAGGUUGGGUAACACUAACUGGAGGACCGAACCGACUAAUGUUGAAAAAUUAGCGGAUGACUUGUGGCUGGGGGUGAAAGGCCAAUCAAACCGGGAGAUAGCUGGUUCUCCCCGAAAGCUAUUUAGGUAGCGCCUCGUGAAUUCAUCUCCGGGGGUAGAGCACUGUUUCGGCAAGGGGGUCAUCCCGACUUACCAACCCGAUGCAAACUGCGAAUACCGGAGAAUGUUAUCACGGGAGACACACGGCGGGUGCUAACGUCCGUCGUGAAGAGGGAAACAACCCAGACCGCCAGCUAAGGUCCCAAAGUCAUGGUUAAGUGGGAAACGAUGUGGGAAGGCCCAGACAGCCAGGAUGUUGGCUUAGAAGCAGCCAUCAUUUAAAGAAAGCGUAAUAGCUCACUGGUCGAGUCGGCCUGCGCGGAAGAUGUAACGGGGCUAAACCAUGCACCGAAGCUGCGGCAGCGACGCUGAUGCGUUGUUGGGUAGGGGAGCGUUCUGUAAGCCUGCGAAGGUGUGCUGUGAGGCAUGCUGGAGGUAUCAGAAGUGCGAAUGCUGACAUAAGUAACGAUAAAGCGGGUGAAAAGCCCGCUCGCCGGAAGACCAAGGGUUCCUGUCCAACGUUAAUCGGGGCAGGGUGAGUCGACCCCUAAGGCGAGGCCGAAAGGCGUAGUCGAUGGGAAACAGGUUAAUAUUCCUGUACUUGGUGUUACUGCGAAGGGGGACGGAGAAGGCUAUGUUGGCCGGGCGACGGUUGUCCCGGUUUAAGCGUGUAGGCUGGUUUUCCAGGCAAAUCCGGAAAAUCAAGGCUGAGGCGUGAUGACGAGGCACUACGGUGCUGAAGCAACAAAUGCCCUGCUUCCAGGAAAAGCCUCUAAGCAUCAGGUAACAUCAAAUCGUACCCCAAACCGACACAGGUGGUCAGGUAGAGAAUACCAAGGCGCUUGAGAGAACUCGGGUGAAGGAACUAGGCAAAAUGGUGCCGUAACUUCGGGAGAAGGCACGCUGAUAUGUAGGUGAAGUCCCUUGCGGAUGGAGCUGAAAUCAGUCGAAGAUACCAGCUGGCUGCAACUGUUUAUUAAAAACACAGCACUGUGCAAACACGAAAGUGGACGUAUACGGUGUGACGCCUGCCCGGUGCCGGAAGGUUAAUUGAUGGGGUCAGCGCAAGCGAAGCUCUUGAUCGAAGCCCCGGUAAACGGCGGCCGUAACUAUAACGGUCCUAAGGUAGCGAAAUUCCUUGUCGGGUAAGUUCCGACCUGCACGAAUGGCGUAAUGAUGGCCAGGCUGUCUCCACCCGAGACUCAGUGAAAUUGAACUCGCUGUGAAGAUGCAGUGUACCCGCGGCAAGACGGAAAGACCCCGUGAACCUUUACUAUAGCUUGACACUGAACAUUGAGCCUUGAUGUGUAGGAUAGGUGGGAGGCUUUGAAGUGUGGACGCCAGUCUGCAUGGAGCCGACCUUGAAAUACCACCCUUUAAUGUUUGAUGUUCUAACGUGGACCCGUGAUCCGGGUUGCGGACAGUGUCUGGUGGGUAGUUUGACUGGGGCGGUCUCCUCCUAAAGAGUAACGGAGGAGCACGAAGGUUGGCUAAUCCUGGUCGGACAUCAGGAGGUUAGUGCAAUGGCAUAAGCCAGCUUGACUGCGAGCGUGACGGCGCGAGCAGGUGCGAAAGCAGGUCAUAGUGAUCCGGUGGUUCUGAAUGGAAGGGCCAUCGCUCAACGGAUAAAAGGUACUCCGGGGAUAACAGGCUGAUACCGCCCAAGAGUUCAUAUCGACGGCGGUGUUUGGCACCUCGAUGUCGGCUCAUCACAUCCUGGGGCUGAAGUAGGUCCCAAGGGUAUGGCUGUUCGCCAUUUAAAGUGGUACGCGAGCUGGGUUUAGAACGUCGUGAGACAGUUCGGUCCCUAUCUGCCGUGGGCGCUGGAGAACUGAGGGGGGCUGCUCCUAGUACGAGAGGACCGGAGUGGACGCAUCACUGGUGUUCGGGUUGUCAUGCCAAUGGCACUGCCCGGUAGCUAAAUGCGGAAGAGAUAAGUGCUGAAAGCAUCUAAGCACGAAACUUGCCCCGAGAUGAGUUCUCCCUGACCCUUUAAGGGUCCUGAAGGAACGUUGAAGACGACGACGUUGAUAGGCCGGGUGUGUAAGCGCAGCGAUGCGUUGAGCUAACCGGUACUAAUGAACCGUGAGGCUUAACCUUACAACGCCGAAGCUGUU
rnacentral:rRNA from 1 species